CUAAACUGCAGGAAUUCCCUACCGGUCAUUUUUUGAAAAGAGAAUUCUAGUACGCACUUCAUUUUUCAGAAUUAAUACCCUUUAUGUCGGCUUACGUCUAUAUUCUUCUCUAAGAGUAGCCUACUCCGUGUUUGCCUGUGACGGCUUGGUGGGCCAGUAUGAAUAGGUCAGUGGGAUGGUUUGCCCAUCCUGAGUCGGUCAGUCACACAGCUAUUAGGUGGGACUGGUCAGGGGCAUGGCGGAUCCUGGGAUUGAUCCAAUUUGCAUUUCUAAGUAUCCUUUGGCUCUUCCGAAGAGUGAGUUAGUGCCCCGCUGGCGUCUAGCCAUAUACUCGUAGUCUAUGUUGGUAGAGAAUUGUUGCAUUAAGACGUGUCUUUAGGGUGCCUCCACCCUACUUC